UGUUAGAUCUCUCACAACAAUCUGAAGGUCUCACCAUCUUUUUUUACUCCCUCCUUUUAUCUUUUAUAGGCAUUUCUCCUAAUAGAUCUAACCUCAUUUUGGCAUCAUUUUCUCAAAGGACUUGAAUAGGUUUUUAUUUUGAAUGUGAAAGUAGCAUACUGUGUACUAGUGAAUACUGUUACACUUAAUUUACUGGACAACAAGGAAGGCUGCUAGAUUUGAAUGGGCCAGAGCUAGAAAAGGUUUUUCUACAGGUUCAAAUUUCAGUACAAGCAGCCCUGACACCUGAGCCAUAGGAACAGCAGAUCCAAAGCUAUGAGAAUAUCUUGAUAGAGAAGGAUUCGGUGUUACCACUCUGGAAAGUGCCAAUAUGAGUGUCAUUCCAAGGAACUCUAAAAUUCUGGAGCAAAGCCGUACUAUCUGCAGCAGAGAACUACACAUCACUUAAAAAGCAACUGUAGGCAUGCUAUGGGUCCUGACAGAAAGUUCCCAAACAUGGAGAUUUCAAAUGACCAUGCAAUCAGGGUCCUCCAUCAUGAGCUGAAUAAUAUCAGACCUACCAAGUCAUAAUAUUAGGUAAGUCCAACAGCAAUCUAUUACAAAGUACAGGUGGUACAUCUGGAAUCAAGCUUCAGUAGGUUCACAUGGUAUAAGUAAGCUUGCAUCAAGAGAUGGCCUAGAAACCCUAUCAUCUGCCACAAUUGAAACAAUGCCACUCUCUUGGCUCAUAUUGAUGACCUUAUGGGAGAGUGCCAAGACAUGCUAACGAAGAGGAAAUGGCAUGAGGUUUGUUCUCAGAUGGUUCAACUUGGCAUGGGAGAGAGCCAAAUAUAAACACUCAUGUACUACAGCCCCACUCAAAGGUGGCUCUUAUCAGAAAGGGAAAAUUCUUCCCAAGCGCAUAGCUUCAGAAAGUGCAACUUAUCACCUUUCCGUGAAAGAGAAAAGUGGCCUAAGGGGGAAAAGUGGGAAAUGGAAGUGCCUUUUAGACCACAUAUAAGAUUCCUGUUUUUCCCCCACUGCCCUCUGCUUCUCUACAUGCUAAUGUUACAAGAACAUUCAUAAGGAAAUGCUUCAAAAAGCUGUUGCCUAAAUAUUAUGCAAGAGAUAAUCCAGUCCAGAAGCAGGUGUUAAUAGAAAGAGCUCAGAGAAACUGUUGGUGCUAUCCAACAAGCAAACACGCAUCAAGACAAGCAAAGAAAUACAGACAGAACUUUAAAAUGAAGACAUUCUAAGAUCUCACUUUUAACUGAUAACCUGGAGGCAACGUUUACCAAGAUGGAUGGGCACAUAUCUAGGAACUGUCAAAAUCCAGGAAUGCUGGAAGAAGUAUGCAUUUGAGGACACUUAAGAAAUCAACUAUGAGUUUGAAACCAAGUUACAAAAGGAGAGAGCAACCACAUUUUUCAAAGAGAUUUUCUUUUGUCAUGGCCCAAUUCGAUCUUCACAGCGGACAACAUACAGCCGGAUAUCGUGCUUUGUACAAAUUGAAGUUUUGCAUCAACCCUGCUUCAAGCAAGUCUAUUGGCACCAUUUUCCCAACAGCGUGUGUUCAUUUUGUGUCACUGUGUCAUAUUUUGGUAAUUCUCAUAACAUU
rnacentral:lncRNA from 1 species